AACGAACGCUGGCGGCAUGCCUAACACAUGCAAGUCGAACGAGACCUUCGGGUCUAGUGGCGCACGGGUGCGUAACGCGUGGGAACCUGCCCUUAGGUUCGGAAUAACUCCCCGAAAGGGGUGCUAAUACCGGAUAAUUUCUUCUGACCAAAGAUUUAUCGCCUUUGGAUGGGCCCGCGUUGGAUUAGCUAGUUGGUAGGGUAAAAGCCUACCAAGGCGACGAUCCAUAGCUGGUCUGAGAGGAUGAUCAGCCACACUGGGACUGAGACACGGCCCAGACUCCUACGGGAGGCAGCAGUGGGGAAUAUUGGACAAUGGGCGAAAGCCUGAUCCAGCAAUGCCGCGUGAGUGAUGAAGGCCUUAGGGUUGUAAAGCUCUUUUACCCGGGAUGAUAAUGACAGUACCGGGAGAAUAAGCUCCGGCUAACUCCGUG
rnacentral:rRNA from 1 species